GGGCUUGGUCUGCAGUAGGAGACAAUUAUUCUGCAAUCUUCCUGGUCCUGCCAUUAAUUUAUUUAAGGUCCUGGAAGAAUACUUAAAUUGGUCUCAAGUUCCAUCAGCAAGAUGGGACGACUCCAUUGCAAAGAAACAUAAUAUAUGGAAAAAUUACUAGAAAAUCUAGGAAAACUGACUGAAUGCUUUGGAAAGACACAGUCAAGAUUAACAUGCUGAGACUCGGGAGGUGGUGAUUUGCCUAGGGACACAGAAAAAUUAAAAAAAAUGUGUCACAAGAAAGUUUACAGAACCUACUCAAACUCAAAGAGAAAUCAGAGACUAAAUUCUCAAAACUGGAAGCUGCCUGCAGCAUCCACACUCUUCAGCCCUGUACUAUGUGAUGUGUAUUACGAAUGGAGCCACCAGCAGUAUUUGUAUGAACAUGAGACAAUGUGUG
rnacentral:lncRNA from 1 species